CCUUCAUUUUUAAAGCUUAUUGAGGAAGAUGACCCAAUAUUUUUGGUAUGUUAUAUGUACGAGUAUGCCACAUGGUUCAAGUUCUCUUGAGUCCUCAGAGUUGUGAAUUAGUUCGCUUUUCAAGUACUUUGCUUCUGAAGAUUGCAAUAGAAGUUUAGGAUGCAAGUGCACAUGUU